ACGGAAGGCAGCAGUGAGGAAUAUUGGUCAAUGGGCGGAAGCCUGAACCAGCCAUGCCGCGUGAGGGACGAAUGCCCUAUGGGUUGUAAACCUCUUUUGCCGCAGAGUAAUAAGGGUCCUGCGGGGCCCGAUGAGAGUAUGCGGCGAAUAAGCAUCGGCUAACUCCGUGCCAGCAGCCGCGGUAAUACGUAGGUGGCAAGCGUUGUCCGGAUUUACUGGGUGUAAAGGGCGUGUAGGCGGAGCUGCAAGUCAGAUGUGAAAUCCCGGGGCUCAACCCCGGAACUGCAUUUGAAACUGUAGCCCUUGAGUAUCGGAGAGGCAAGCGGAAUUCCUAGUGUAGCGGUGAAAUGCGUAGAUAUUAGGAGGAACACCAGUGGCGAAGGCGGCUUGCUGGACGACAACUGACGCUGAGGCGCGAAAGCGUGGGGAGCAAACAGGAUCAGAUACCCUGGUA
rnacentral:rRNA from 1 species